UACACAUACUAGUGCUUUUAAACCUACCACACGGCCGUGAGGAUGUCUGAAUUUCUAUUCAAGGACCCUAUUUCCUGAGAUAAAGAAAGAUGAAAUGUUAAAAUGGUACUCCAAAGAUCUGUAGUCUGAGGUGGGCUGCCUCAUGCCGUGAAAUGGUAGGGCCGGCCCUGGAAAGGAGUGCAGAAUCCUCUAGAGCCAGCCUUCGGAUGUUUGCUAUGCAACCAGCUGCUGCUUCCUGAAGCGUUUCGUCCGUGGAGCCUGCCAUACCCAGCAGAAGCUUGUUAAAAAAUAACAACAUGCAAGAGAAAGAAAAAUGAAAUGAGAAGGAGCUCCAAACCAAAACCAUUAUACCGAAAAUAAAUUAUUUUAAAAUAACAUGCCUAGAGAAACAUAUCCAGUAAUGAAUGAAAAUAGCCAUAUGUUCUGCAGCUCUGGAACGGAGUUUUCAAGGCUGGAUUCUCAAAAGAAUCCAUCCACAGAAUGAAAAGUGGCCAAAAGGAUAACAGAGUUCCAAAAAGGGCUAAACAGAUGUAUUUAAGAUAAGCAUAUCAAUGGUUGUUAGGCAGAAAACACAGGCUUUUUCUCAGAAAGGUUGUUUGAAGCAAAGAGUGACCACCCUCAUUAAAUGUCAUGAUUGAAGCAUCCAGAUAUUGUCACUGGUCGAAGAAUGGAUUUGGGGCGAGAUAAUUCAUUAGCAUGACCCAGUGUGACUGCUCAUAUGUUUGUUCCACAAAAUUAUUCAUAAAGAUAAAACUGAUUCCAGGGUCAGAGUCUUCCAACAGCUGAAUUUUAUUGCCAUGCCAUGUAUCACUUUUUCCUAAGUGGAGAUAAAUUUCCACUUAGGAAAACUAUUUUGUUAUGCAUGUAUCGUGACAUGUUAUUUUCUGCUGAAGGCACACAGAUGGGGUAGCCAGUACAGAAAGGGGCUGUCAAAUUCUGUCUACCCAUAUCAGAAAACAACUCACAUCUGCAUGGGCAUUAAUUGCCGUGUA